GGCCCUGGUUUCCAAUGCAGUCCUGGAUGAACCUACAGUAUUUUAAUUAUACGAUCAGGUUCUAUUGCUAGCAAUGAUGGACUGGAAUGAAAGGAUUACAAAUAUGUGUGAGGUUAAAUGGAGCCUAGUGAUCAAGGA
rnacentral:snoRNA from 1 species